rnacentral:rRNA from 2 species
CUCAGGUGUUGUUGGGUAGGGGAGCGUUCUGUAAGCCUGUGAAGGUGGCCUGUGAGGGUUGCUGGAGGUAUCAGAAGUGCGAAUGCUGACAUAAGUAACGAUAAAGCGGGUGAAAAGCCCGCUCGCCGGAAGACCAAGGGUUCCUGUCCAACGUUAAUCGGGGCAGGGUGAGUCGACCCCUAAGGCGAGGCCGAAAGGCGUAGUCGAUGGGAAACGGGUUAAUAUUCCCGUACUUGGUGUUACUGCGAAGGGGGGACGGAGAAGGCUAUGUUGGCCGGGCGACGGUUGUCCCGGUUUAAGCGUGUAGGUGUGUGUUCCAGGUAAAUCCGGUUCACUUUAACACUGAGGCGUGACGACGAGGCACUACGGUGCUGAAGCAACAAAUGCCCUGCUUCCAGGAAAAGCCUCUAAGCAUCAGGUAACAUCAAAUCGUACCCCAAACCGACACAGGUGGUCAGGUAGAGAAUACCAAGGCGCUUGAGAGAACUCGGGUGAAGGAACUAGGCAAAAUGGUGCCGUAACUUCGGGAGAAGGCACGCUGACAUGUAGGUGAAGUGAUUUACUCAUGGAGCUGAAGUCAGUCGAAGAUACCAGCUGGCUGCAACUGUUUAUUAAAAACACAGCACUGUGCAAACACGAAAGUGGACGUAUACGGUGUGACGCCUGCCCGGUGCCGGAAGGUUAAUUGAUGGGGUCAGCGCAAGCGAAGCUCCUGAUCGAAGCCCCGGUAAACGGCGGCCGUAACUAUAACGGUCCUAAGGUAGCGAAAUUCCUUGUCGGGUAAGUUCCGACCUGCACGAAUGGCGUAAUGAUGGCCAGGCUGUCUCCACCCGAGACUCAGUGAAAUUGAACUCGCUGUGAAGAUGCAGUGUACCCGCGGCAAGACGGAAAGACCCCGUGAACCUUUACUAUAGCUUGACACUGAACAUUGAGCCUUGAUGUGUAGGAUAGGUGGGAGGCUUUGAAGUGUGGACGCCAGUCUGCAUGGAGCCGACCUUGAAAUACCACCCUUUAAUGUUUGAUGUUCUAACGUGGACCCGUGAUCCGGGUUGCGGACAGUGUCUGGUGGGUAGUUUGACUGGGGCGGUCUCCUCCUAAAGAGUAACGGAGGAGCACGAAGGUUGGCUAAUCCUGGUCGGACAUCAGGAGGUUAGUGCAAUGGCAUAAGCCAGCUUGACUGCGAGCGUGACGGCGCGAGCAGGUGCGAAAGCAGGUCAUAGUGAUCCGGUGGUUCUGAAUGGAAGGGCCAUCGCUCAACGGAUAAAAGGUACUCCGGGGAUAACAGGCUGAUACCGCCCAAGAGUUCAUAUCGACGGCGGUGUUUGGCACCUCGAUGUCGGCUCAUCACAUCCUGGGGCUGAAGUAGGUCCCAAGGGUAUGGCUGUUCGCCAUUUAAAGUGGUACGCGAGCUGGGUUUAGAACGUCGUGAGACAGUUCGGUCCCUAUCUGCCGUGGGCGCUGGAGAACUGAGGGGGGCUGCUCCUAGUACGAGAGGACCGGAGUGGACGCAUCACUGGUGUUCGGGUUGUCAUGCCAAUGGCACUGCCCGGUAGCUAAAUGCGGAAGAGAUAAGUGCUGAAAGCAUCUAAGCACGAAACUUGCCCCGA